GGGAGACGCUGGCUCGAGUCUCCCGUGGAAUACGGGAUGCCUCGUGAAAGCUGUGGCUGAGAGCAGAGAGACGAUUCAGGCCUAGUGGAGCUGGAACUUCUGCGUGAGCCCGAGACAGGAAGUCCACGUAUCCGGAGCAAUCCAGAGGAAAAAUGGCGGACGUGGAGGCCAGGACGGACGAAGGGAUCCAGCGGAGCAGCCGAGACCAUUUGGGAGAAA